rnacentral:rRNA from 1 species
ACUCCUACGGGAGGCAGCAGUGGGGAAUCUUGGACAAUGGGCGCAAGCCUGAUCCAGCCAUGCCGCGUGAGUGAUGAAGGCCUUAGGGUCGUAAAGCUCUUUCGCCAGGGAUGAUAAUGACAGUACCUGGUAAAGAAACCCCGGCUAACUCCGUGCCAGCAGCCGCGGUAAUACGGAGGGGUUAGCGUUGUUCGGAAUUACUGGGGCGUAAAGCGCGCGUAGGCGGGUUGUUAAGUUAGAGGUGAAAUCCCGGGGCUCAACCCCGGAACUGCCUUUAAUACUGGCAACCUAGAGUUCGAGAGAGGUGAGUGGAAUUCCGAGUGUAGAGGUGAAAUUCGUAGAUAUUCGGAGGAACACCAGUGGCGAAGGCGGCUCACUGGCUCGAUACUGACGCUGAGGUGCGAAAGUGUGGGGAGCAAACAGGAUUAGAUACCCUGGUAGGAUAGCG